rnacentral:tRNA from 1 species
UUCUGGAUAGCUCAGUCAGUAGAGCAUGAGACUCUUAAUCUCAGGGCUGUAGGUUUGAGCCCCCGACUGGCCAAAAG